ACACGGGAAAGAAGAGGGGAAAAUGGUGCCGGGUGCCGCAUCUAUAGGAUCAGCAUCCUCUCUGUGGAGCCUUUGCGUAAAAAGAGACAAAAUAAAAACAGUGUGAAAACUGAUGAACAAGUGGAUGCCAACCUGUGAAGGACCUGAAGAACCAGAGAGUGGAGUCUGAUCCAGACUGUCCCUCUGCCAAGUGGAGGUUUCCUGGGAAAUAUUUACCAGCUGAGGCUUCUCGCGAACUCCUC